GACGAACGCUGGCGGCGUGCUUAACACAUGCAAGUCGAACGGUGAUGCUCCAGCUUGCUGGAGUGGAUCAGUGGCGAACGGGUGAGUAACACGUGAGCAACCUGCCCCAGACUCUGGAAUAAGCGCUGGAAACGGCGUCUAAUACUGGAUACGAAACUGGCCCGCAUGGGCAUGGUUUGGAAAGUUUUUCGGUUUGGGAUGGGCUCGCGGCCUAUCAGCUUGUUGGUGAGGUAAUGGCUCCCCAAGGCGACGACGGGUAGCCGGCCUGAGAGGGCGACCGGCCACACUGGGACUGAGACACGGCCCAGACUCCUACGGGAGGCAGCAGUGGGGAAUAUUGCACAAUGGGCGAAAGCCUGAUGCAGCGACGCCGCGUGAGGGAUGACGGCCUUCGGGUUGUAAACCUCUUUCAGCAGGGAAGAAGCGAAAGUGACGGUACCUGCAGAAGAAGCACCGGCUAACUACGUG
rnacentral:rRNA from 1 species